GGCUGUGGCUUCUCUAAUUGCUUGGUCUGGAGAUCAGAAUCAACAGAGAACUCAGCUUUAUUUAUCAUCCAAGAAAGCCUUCCCUUCCUUCCAUUAGCCAAUUAAGAAAUUUACAGACACAAGCCAUUACAAGGAGCUGCAGGAAUAGAAACUGCGAAGCCCCUUACCCCCAGGUGUGCACCAACCCGGUUGAGCAGAUGUGGCCUCUGCUGGACCCGUACCCCGGCUAUCUAUCUAUUCGUGGGUAUGGAAUCAUCCAGACAGCAUUAUCAGCCUACCAGGGACUACAUGCAUAAAGAAAAACUGACUUCCCUCUCCAAAGAAUGUCCAUAGCACCUCAGGGGUACAUCCUUUUUCUUCAAGGAAUUCUACUAUUGCCCUAUUUGUCUUUCCCUGUGACUGGGGCCUUUGGAGUUGCACUAUGUUAUCAACGGCCUUCAUUACUUUGGUGAGAAGUGGUAGGAACCAGGUGAAGAAGAGAGUGUUGUUAAGCUCCAUCCUCCUGCAGGACCACAGACAGAUGACUCCUGCCUGCUACUGCUCCAUUUCGGAGCCCAGGUGUUCUCGGUUUGAUCCGGACGGAAGUGGGCAGCCAGCCACUUGGGACAAUUUUGGGAUCUGGGAUAACCGCAUUGAUGAGCCAAUUCUGUUGCCACCUAGCAUCAAGUAUGGCAAGCCAAUUCCCAAAAUUAGCCUGGAGAACGUGGGCUGUGCCUCCCUCAUUGGCGAUCUAUAUUUUCACAGGGUAAUGUGAAUUUGAUAUAUGUGCAGUGAGUGUAUAUAUGUAUAUUUUGAAGUAAUAUAAAAUUAAAGGGAACAAUCUUGUGGAGCAUUUAUCAGCUAGCUGUAAAUUAUUGAUUUAUUUAUCUCUAAGGACACUCAACACAUUGAGUGUCAGAUUCUCUGUAGUAAAGAAUCAGUGGUUAUUGGUAGAUAACCACUAUAUAUUAAAAACAAAUAUGAGGGCCAGAUAUGAUGGCCUAUACCUAUAAUCUCAGGCCUUAAGGAGGAGACAAGGGAAUCAGGAUGGUAACUUUGAGAUUAGCCUGAGCAAGUUCCAGGGUAGCCUGAGUCACAGCUUGUGUCCCAAAACAGAAUAUCAACAACAAAUGUCUGUAAGAGACAUUUUAUUAUGUGUGAUAACCAAAGAACAGGGGCAGACAUGUUGUGUGGUAAUUUAAAUAUGAAAUUAUGGGAUCUGAAAAGAACAGGAAAUGUUAAAAGCAGCUUGGACUUUGGUGGCAGAAACAAAAACAAUGAAAUAUAUAUAUACCUGUCAAGUCUGACAUGUUUUCUUUCUUUAACUUUUGUUUCAAGUAUUUAGUAAAAAUAAAGAAUAAGUCCUC
rnacentral:lncRNA from 1 species